ensembl:snoRNA ACEA small nucleolar RNA U3
AAGACUAUACUUUCAGGGAUCAUUUCUAUAGUGCUGUACUUGAGAAAUGUGUGUCUAAAGUGGUAGAUCUCACUAUCCAUGAUGACAAUUAAAGAUAUUCCCGUUCAGAGCAUGAAUCUGGUGGUUAGAAGUGACUUUGCUCAUUUUUCUUCCACCUUUGAUGACUGUUCCUUGUUCUUCAAUGAACGUGGAUGAAGGGAAUAUGUUCUGAGUGGAU